CCUACGGGAGGCAGCAGUAAGGAAUAUUGGACAAUGGACGCAGGUCUGAUCCAGCCAUGCCGCGUGAAGGAUUAAGGUCCUCUGGAUUGUAAACUUCUUUUAUAAGGGACGAAAAAAGGUCUUUCUAGAUCGUCUGACGGUACCUUAUGAAUAAGCACCGGCUAACUCCGUGCCAGCAGCCGCGGUAAU
rnacentral:rRNA from 1 species